UAAAGAAAGCGACUUCAAAGCACUUGUAAUGCCACUUAUGCUUUGCAGAAUGCCUAACCUCACCUGCUUCCUGGACGCCCCAGGAACAAAGUGCUAGAAACGAUAGUUGCACAAGAUGCUCCACACACGCUCACACACAUUAGCCGCGUCAACAAUGUCACCUACCCGACAAGCGGCCUGUGCAGGCAGGAUGCUGACCGUGAUGAAGACGCCAAUCAUCUGCUGCAAACCCGUGCGCUCAUAUUAAAUUAUUGCACCGCAAAUGCACGCGGCUUAAUGCGGUGCGAACAAAUAGCUGCCGCUGGCUGCUCCGCCGAAGGGUCUAUUCGCAUUCAACAUCGUUCCCUCGGCCCUAUAGGUAUGGAGCCAAUCGGGGGUAAAAAGGGGAGGCGGAGAACGCGGGCACGUUGUCCGGGCCUUGCAUACGUGCAACAGCCAACAGCCUGCCUGCCUGUCUGUCUGCCGGCUGUCUAGACGGAUAGUGUGUGCCUUUUUUUUUCGUCGUCGUUGUUGCUCCUCUAUCGGCGUUUUCUGCUUAUUGCAAUACUAGUGGAGGCCUUGUUGUUGUGCUUAGUUGCUGGCUGGCUGGCUGGCUGGCUGCUUAUUCCGGCCCAAUCUGGGCUACCGGCAUAAGUUGUCGUAAUGCUUCAAUAGCACUCGCUCUCGAAAAAAUAAAACUGGCUUUGUUUGUUAACUUGUUUGUGCUUUUGUAUGGCGAAAAUAUUACUUGAAAUAGUGUUUGAAAUCAUAAAAGCUUUCGCAAUCCCCAUAGAACUGCACUGCACCAAACAGAAUGCAGCCAGCACAUGGUCGCAUCGGCCGCACAUUCCAGCCACACAUGCAGUAGACCCAGAUUUUUCCACUUUUUACGGCUGCUGGAAUUUUGCUAUCCCAUCCCCAUCGGGUGGAGGGAUCGCACCGUAACCUUGAAAAUACGUCGCCGUCAUCGCCAUCAUUUCCAUUCCAGACGGCGGCAUAUUUUCAUAUUUUUCCUUCCCUACCCAUACCCGUGAAAUAUUUUCAUCCGCACCAACAUCUGUCGUGAAUAGGGGGAAACGAGUAGCAAGGCCAACCGUCCAAAAGAGUGUCUGAUGGUUCGUCUGAAGCACACCAUGGUUAGUACUUGCCGGACAAAAAAAAUAUCGACUCAUUUUAGACAUCUUACAAGAGCUAGCGUAUAAGCCGCCCUGCUGCUGGAUAGCGAAUGCACUUUGCAUAGUAAACAAGACGGGAAG